rnacentral:rRNA from 1 species
AUUGAACGCUGGCGGCAGGCCUAACACAUGCAAGUCGAGCUGAUGAAGGGAGCUUGCUCCUGGAUUCAGCGUCGGACGGGUGAGUAAUGCCUAGGAAUCUGCCUCGUAGUGCGGGAUAACGUCCGGAAACGGGUGCUAAUACCGCAUACGUCCUGAGGGAGCAAGUUGGGGAUCUUCGGACCUCACGCUAUCAUAUGAGCCUAGGUCGGAUUAGAUAGUUGGUGGGGUAAAGGCCUACCAAGGCGACGAUCCGUAACUGGUCUGAGAGGAUGAUCGGUCACACUGGAGAGGGGACGAGGUCCAGACGACUAAGGGAGGCAGCAGUAGGGAAUAUUGGACAAAGGGCGAAAGCAUGAUCAAGCCAUGGCGCGUGUGUGAAAAAGGUCUUCGGAUUGUAAAGAACUUUAAGUUGGGAGGAAGGGCAGUAAGUUAAGACCUUGCUGGUUUGACGUUACCAACAGAAUAAGCACCGGCUAACUUCGUG